rnacentral:rRNA from 1 species
CCCUUAGAUGUUCUGGGCCGCACGCGCGCUACACUGAUUCAUGCAACAAGUUUUGUCCUUGGCUGAUAGGCCUGGGUAAUCUUUGAACGUGGAUCGUGAUGGGGAUAGAUGAUUGCAAUUAUUCAUCUUCAACGAGGAAUUCCUAGUAAACGCAAGUCAUCAGCUUGCAUUGAUUACGUCCCUGCCCUUUGUACACACCGCCCGUCGCACCUACCGAUUGAAUGGUCCGGUGAAAUCUUCGGAUCUGAGAGAUGUCUGAUUAAUUUCGGACGCCUUUUGGAAAAGUUGUUUAAACCUUACCAUUUAGAGGAAGGUGAAGUCGUAACA